rnacentral:lncRNA from 1 species
AAUAGGAUAGAUUACUUACGAUCAAGGCAGAUCCUUACCCAAAUCAGAUGUCCAAGAACUUUCCUCCAUUAGAUCUAGCUUUAGAGCUCUGAUACCAAUUGUUGAUAAGAUCGAAUCUUCUCUUGCUGAUCAUAGAUUGUGGAAGCAGCAGUAAGGGUGGGAAGAAAAUCUUAAUGGCAGAUCAUAUCAGGCCUAGAAGAAUCCUACGUGUAAAAAAGAGGAGAGGAGAAACAUGAAAGAGGGAGAGAG